rnacentral:rRNA from 1 species
GGGGUUAAAGAUUUCGAUUGCCAAGGGGAGGGGUCCGCGGCCGAUUAGCUAGUUGGUGGGGUAAUGGCCUUACCAAGGCGACGAUCGGUAGGCUGGUCUGAGAGGAUGAUCAGCCACGACUGGUACUUAGACACGGACCAG